rnacentral:rRNA from 1 species
AGCAGUAGCCACGGUAAUACGAGGGGGGCAAGCGUUGUUCGGAUUUAUUGGGCGUAAAGGGUGCGUAGGCGGUUUGAUAAGUCUGAUGUGAAAUCUAUGGGCUCAACCCAUAGUCUGCAUUAGAAACUGUCGGGCUUGAGUAUGGGAGAGGUGAGUGGAAUUUCCGGUGUAGCGGUGAAAUGCGUAGAUAUCGGAAGGAACACCUGUGGCGAAAGCGGCUCACUGGACCAUAACUGACGCUGAUGCACGAAAGCUAGGGUAGCAAACAGGAUUAGAUACCCCUGUAGUCCCUGUCUCUUAUAC